UCUUUUUUAUGUUGAGCACUGGGAUCUGUUCUAUAGGCUCGUACCACUGUAUCCUUGAGUUCUAAGGAGACAGGAAAUCAAGUUUGGUGGAUGAACAAGGUCCAUUAGACCAGAGCGUGAUUAACAACUUUCAUGGUCCUCGGGUUAUGGUGCUGUAGAUGAUCGUUCUCGGCUCCAAUCAUGGGUGUGCCGGGAUGGUCUAAUGGUUGUCUGACAGACU